GACGAACCGUCCUAACGUUGUUCGGAAUCACUGGGCUUAAAGGGCGCGUAGGCGGGUUCCCAAGUCGGUGGUGAAAUCUUUCGGCCCAACCGGAAAACAGCCGCCGAUACUGGGAGUCUUGAGGGAGGUAGGGGUCGAUGGAACUUCCGGUGGAGCGGUGAAAUGCGUAGAUAUUAGGAGGAACACCGGUGGCGAAGGCGGCCAACUGGACAGUAACUGACGCUCUGGCGCGAAAGCGUGGGUAUCAAACAGG
rnacentral:rRNA from 1 species